CGCUGGCGGCGUGCCUAACACAUGCAAGUCGAGCGGGGACAUACGACGGAGCAGAAGUUUCGGAUGGAAGCGAAGAUGUAUGUUCUAGCGGCGGACGGGUGAGUAACGCGUGAGCAACCUGUCCUUCACAGGGGGAUAACACAGCGAAAGUUGUACUAAUACCGCAUAAGACCACAUUGGGACAUCCCAGAGGGGUCAAAGGAGCAAUCCGGUGAAGGGUGGGCUCGCGUCCGAUUAGAUAGUUGGUGAGGUAACGGCCCACCAAGUCGACGAUCGGUAGCCGACCUGAGAGGGUGAUCGGCCACAUUGGGACUGAGACACGGCCCAAACUCCUACGGGAGGCAGCAGUGGGGAAUAUUGGGCAAUGGGGGAAACCCUGACCCAGCAACGCCGCGUGAGGGAAGAAGGUUUUCGGAUCGUAAACCUCUGUCCUUGGUGAAGAGUGAGAGACGGUAGCCAAGGAGGAAGCCCCGGCUAACUACGUGCCAGCAGCAGC
rnacentral:rRNA from 1 species